GUGUCUACCUGCCCAAGCUGCUCCAGGGUUGUGGUCACAGCUGGAACAGAAACAUCUUAAACCUCCAUGGCUAAAGAGCCUCGGGAGACAUCAGGGAGGCAUCAGAGUAAAGGCACCCUGUUAUCUGGAGGUCCAAGAGAUGAGCUGCACCCUCCUAGGCCAUAAGGGAAAGCUGUGAUACAUCUUGUAACGAGGUGGUAAUGCAAAAAGACCACCCUGAAUAUCUUCUGCCCAAAAGGAGACUAUCCUGUCCACAGCAGGUCCCAACCCUGAACGUCUUCCUGAAGCCCAAGCUUCAGAGAUACUGGCAUUACAGAGUGGGGGGUAGGAUGGGGUACCCACGGGUGUCCUUCCCCUUCACCGGUGGACAUCGGGUGACUUGUGGAGGACACGGUCACCCCCUGCGCUGCAUGGAGAGAGGUGCUGGGGAGGAUUUGGGUCCCAGGCAAGUUGGCUCAGGGCCCUUCAGAGGGGUCACCGAGGCUGUCGGAGGUGCCCAUCACCUGGGGGCUAUCAGGUACAGCCCUGGCUCUGGAGGGCAUCCCCCAGCUCACAGGGUCAGCGCAGCGGGUGCAAGCAUCGGGAUGCCAGAAGUUGCCUUCCCGAUCACGCUCAUCCUGCCGGGGAGGGAUGAGACAGCAUUGUGCUUUAAAAAGCAUCCCCGACCCUAUCAGCGAGAGAUGAGAUAUCCUAAUUAUGGCAGUACAGGCGAGGAUCCGGGCCGUAUCAGCCAGAACAGAAAGGAUCACACCGAGAAGCAGCCAUGAGCCAGCUGCACGGCUCGCGGGAAGGCAGCCUGCUUCACACAGCCAGCCUUGGGUCGUGCUUGACGGACAAGGGAAACUGAGGCAGGACGGCAUCACAGACUGUGCGGAGGGCCAGGGUUUCCAGCCUAAGCCUAGGAGGGGAUGGUCGGGUCCAGCCCUCGGUGAGGCUUCUGCUGGGGUUAAGGGAGUUCAAGGUCAACCGAGGAAUGAAGUCAGCGAUGACUGAAAUCGCCGAAUUUGCAUCUCGUGAUCUUCAAGCAAAGGAGGUGAGAAGAUAAGUGGUAGGAAACAUCUUCCGAGCAGCCAUGCUCAGGAGGUACUGUCUGGUUUUGCAAACCAAACCUUACUCAGACAGCUGUUUCCACCAGAUUUCAGAGCAUCCAAAGCCAAAAGGAAAACUACCAAACCAAAACCAAGCAGUUCUGGCUUUGAGAGACCACGUAGAGCCUGGCUGCGAGGGGAGACGAAGAUGGCAGGGGAAUCAGCUAAUGCCUCCGCAUCGGACUGAAAUACCCCCGUGGGCAUGGGGAACUUGCGUGGGCAUAAGAAAGGAGGCAUGGGACCCAGGCUGAAGCAAGAGCUUGAUAGCAUCUUCUCCGGGAGUGAGAAUGUGGAUGGCAGCCCUGGGGGGCACCGCCUGGCUGGAGCUCCACUGGAGCACACCUUGGUGCCCUGCCAGGAGGGAUGGCCAAAAGGAUGAGUCUCACUUGUGGAAAUGGGACUGUGUUCCUGGAAAAAUGCUUUACCGGGGAUGUCCCUCCCAGGACAGUCAGUUCCUUGGGCUCUGCCACGUCUUCUCUGUUUCGCCCCACGGCAAUGAUGGGGUUUUCCCUCCCGAGCAAGAUCUUCUAAGCCAGAGUAAGCAACGUGGGGUCUGCACGUCGACAGACGUGUGUCUGUACAUCUGCAGCUACAAAUGAGACCGAGGGAAGUGCCGAGGCCAAUAUAAGCCCUUGCACGUGCUGUAACUCCAUUUCCAUGCUCAACGGCUGGUUUGAAGACACAGAUCUGCUUUUUGAUACAUUUUCCCUGAGUGCUUGGAAAGCAUUGGCUGGCCCCUGUGUUUUCCACUCUCUGAGGAAUCUCUACCAGGCUCUGAACUGUCAUUAAAGGCUUUUUUUUUUUUUUCUCUUUCCAGGCAACAGCAAAACUUUCAAUCCUGCUGACAGUGGAGACCCCAGACUGUUAAAUCCUCAGCAAGUUGGUAAACAAAUACAGGAAGAGCGGUCAGGGCUGGGGCAUCAGAAGGAGAAGAGGGGAGGGAAUUUUCCAGGACUUUGGCAGCAUCAGAUGAGUUUUAAUUACUCCUCAUUAUUUCCAGCGUUAGACAAGUCCUUCCACAAAUUUCCUAAAAAUAAUGCCUGGCCAUAGGAAGUUUCUCCAUUCAGUCUUCGGGAAGGGAACGGGAGGGCAAUUUGCAGAGGAAAAUAUUUGCUCCCUCACCUCGGCAAUGAUCAAAAUUACAGAUUAACAGGAAAACCUGUGAGCUUGGGGAGUGACGCUUACCCAGGGACGAGAGCGAGAAGGAAGAAAGACAGA